rnacentral:lncRNA from 1 species
UUUUUUUUUUUUUGUGGUCUAUGUAAGAACCUUGCUAUUUUUAGCAUUUGCUUCGACUAAUGAUUUAGUUAUUUUCCGUCUCAUCAUAUUUGUCCUUUUUUUCCCCUGUAGUCUUUGUGGAAAUUGGCUUAAAGACUUGGAAGUUUUUUAAACAUCUAUUUCUACUACAACUACAUGGAUGUGAAAAGUCUGGAAAAUUAUAGAAUGUGACUCACAAGUGGGAAAAAUUCCACACGGUAUCAUUAAUGUUACAUCCUAGCAACUCCAGAGAAGCUACCUGAACUGUAUCAUAUUUCUCCCUUUGUUUCCCUGUAGUUUUUGUGGAAAUUGGCUUAAAGUCUUCGAAGUUUUUUAAACAUCUUUUUCUACUACAACUACUUGGAGUUUCUCCUCAUUAACUUAGUCAAGAAAUAGAAAUUUGUUACAAGUUCUGCAACAAAUUUUUCUACCGUGUGUGUUACGUAACGGGACCAAUUCAUAUCAUCUUAGGUGACACACACUGCAGAGAUGGUCGAUGACCUCGAAAUGAAUACACAUCUAGAGAAAAAUUAGCUAGAACAUAGGUGAGUAUUAAUUAUUUUCCCAAAGUCAUUUCCGUUUUCUAAAAAGUCUUGUGAAACACUACAAAAUACAGAGUAACAAGUAGACAUUUUAAUUUGUAUAAAGUUGAACAAAUAGACACACAUGUCCUACGUGACAUCCUACAUGUCAUUUUUUAUCCUACGUAGUGUCCUACGUGUAUUAUGUCAUGUAGGACUCAUGUGUCUACUUGUUCAACUUUAUACAAGUUUAAGUGCCUACUUGUGCAUAUCCAAAGUUGAAGGACAUAAACGUAAAAUGAGGCCAAGUUAAAGGGCACAUUUAUGUUUAAUGCCUUUUUGGAAAUAGACUUCUGAGGGGGAAAGUACCCCAUUUUAUUUAAUAAAAACUACAUAAUUAGACAUACUUAACUACCAUAUAUACAUAUAUUAUCUAUAGUUUAAAAUAUUACUCUUAAUACCACUUUUUAAUAAUUAUACCAUAUAUUUUAAAAAAGUUAAAUCUUAUAUGAUAUUGAAUAAUUAUCUUAAAAUUUAAACUCCUUAAUAGAAGGUACAUUAACAAUUAACCUCCCUCAAUUAGGGGUGUGCAUUCGGUUUUUCGGUUUGGUUUUACACUAUUCGGUUUGGAUUUUCGGUUUUUGGUUUUGUAAAAAUGUAACCCAAUCCGAUCCAAAAUAAAUUUGGUUUGGUUUGGUUUUCCUCUAUUCAGUUCGGCUUUUUUCGGUUUGGUUAUUCGGUUAUGUCAAUAAUUAAUAAAAAAUAAACCAAACCAAAAAACCAAACAAAGUAAUUUAUUAAUCCAAAACCAAUCUGAAAAACCAAAAAACCAAUCCAAAUAAAAAUUCGGUUUGAUUUGGUUUGGUUAUUCAGUUUAAUCCGAAUAGUGCACACCCCUACCCUCAAUCUCCUUCACCAACUAUAUAUCUCCUCCCCCCAAACCCCACGUCCUCUGCCAUUUUUUCUCUCUUCCUUCGUCCUCCUCAUAAUAUCUAAUAAAAACGAUUUUGGUUCAUAUUUGAAUCCCAGGUGUAUCUACAUGUCCUAUGCACAUGUCAUUCUUCCAUAUGUCUGAUGUUUGUGUAUCCAAAUGUCUUAUGUAUCUUCCUUUCAUCUAUAUAUCUACCGUUCUUCUCCUUAUUCUAUGUAUUUUGUUUAUUUAUUAAAUGUAUAUGUAUUUUCUAUUAAAUAUAUAUGAGUUGUAGAGUUCAUAUUGCUCUAAAGUUUGAUUUUAUAAACUUUUACAAAUUAGGUUUUACAUUGUUUGCUAGCUUUUGUUGUUUCUCAAAUUUUAAUGAAUGACCAUUCAUAAAACAGGUCGAAAAUAGAUCUAAGUUUAAGAACGAUCCUUUAAAAUUGUUGAAUACAUGUAUCUCACCUUUAAUUCAAAUUAAUAGCACGUAUCUCGAUUUUUAAUACUGUUGGAUACACAUAUCUCACUUUUAAUGAUACAUGUAUCUCGCGGUCAUGAUUUGUUCCUAAAAUUUGUGUGUUUCAGUUGCAUUUUAUAUUUAGAUCCACAUAAUCACAUGUCUAUACUUACUAUGUAUUCGAGAUACAUGUUUUUGAAUAUAAUGUAUGAAAUUGAUACAUCAAAUUAAUACUAGAUACGUGAAAUUAAAACUAGAUCAUAUAAAUAGAUACAUGAAAUUAAUACUUGACACAUAUAACAAAUACACGAAAUUAAUACUAGAUACUUCUAUGAUACAUAUGAAUGUACUUGUAUAAUACUCAUGUAUCUAAGUAUUUAGUUUGUUGGAUACAUCAUAUAUAGAUAAUAGAUACAUCAAAUUAACGAAUUUAUUAUUUUAAGAGUACUAAAUGAAAUUAAUCAAAUUACAUGACCAAGAUAUACAUGCUUUUGUUUAUUACUAAUAAUAUAAUGAAUUUAUUAUUUCAAAGGAUAAUUUUGAAAUAAUAAAUUGAAAUUAAUUAAAUAUAGAUACACUCCUUGAUUUCCGCCUUAUGAUAAGCGAUUUGAUUAAUUUAAAUUUUCAGAAUUAAUUAUUCAUGUAUAUCCUUAAUUACUCCUCUAAUUAAGGAAAUUGGUUACAACCUAUUAAUUCAAACAAAUAAAAUAUGUAUCUCAUACAUGUAUCUCCAGAUUCAAUCUCAUGUAUCCUAAGUAUGAAAAUAUGGUAGAGGAAGUAAUAUUUGAAACUAUCGGGAAUCUUAGUAAUUAGGACCUAAACUAGUGGGAUUUAUGUAGUUUGCCCUUUUAUUUAUCUGGAUAUUUUUCUUUAAUUUAAACCUCACACUUCCAUAGACUAGUCAAAAACAACAUCAAUAAUAUCCCUUAAGUCGGGAUUUAAGAAAGGUAAAUCUGAAGUAUUUUAAAAGUGUUGGCUUAUCUGAGAAUUAGAUGUUACUUCCUCCGUUUCAAUAUGUCUGUAUGUAUGGUUUUCACUUGACAUGGAAUUUAAUAAAAAAAUAAAAAAAAUUAUAUCUUGUGGUCUAAAAUUAAAAUAUGUAGAAUGUACCAUGACCCACUGUUGACACCCAAUUUUGGCCUAAUAUUUUCAAAAAUUCAUAACUUUUAAGUUUUAUUUAUUUAAUAGUUCAAGAUAAUUUUUUUUAUAAUUUUAAAUAAGUUUAUCGAUAACUAUUCUUAUUUAUCAAAAUUUAGAAAUUUUUUUUCCUAGUUAAUCUUAAAAUUACACUUUUUACAUGUCAUUAGUUAUGUUCAUUACAUUUUUUAAUAUUUAUUUUUAAUAUAGUUCAGAAAUUCAUUUCGAUGUGGAUAAAAUUUCUUACACAUAUAUUUUGGGCCACAACCUUGAGCCCAUGACUUGGGCCCAUUGAUAAUUUCCAAUUCUCUACAUAUAGAACUAACACAUUAGGUUAAAGGGGGUGGUGAAUUUAUUUUUAGAAUAAGGUCAUAAACUUUUCAGAUUUUUGUUCACAAGGGGUUUCCGGUCACCACCACCCCGGAAUCCGGCGAAGCUCCGGCAAUACAAAACCCCGACUCAAAACCUCCAUUUUCUUUCCUUCACUGUUCAUCCUUAAAGAAAACACCACCAAAGAACCUCCAAAAUUCGUCUUCUCUCCCCAAUGCCGUUUCCGGCAAGACAACGAACCAAAACAUCCACCAAACCCAUCUUUGUUCCCUUUCUCAUUUUCCGGUGAAAUAAAAACGACCCUAAAUCCACCAGAAAUCCCACACAAACCAGACCACCACAAAAACCCCUCGGAACCGGUCCCUUCCCCUCUCCCUUUUUACGAUUUUUAGUCCAUUUUUGCAAGUACUCCGGCGAGGUCUCAAAGCUCCAGAACCCAUCUUCGGCGAAACGACGCCAAUAACCACAAACUCCGGCGAAGCUUCAUGCCAUGGCUAUGACGACGGUCAGCAACAACAAACCACCAUGAAAUAACCAAAUCCGGCCUUCUAAGAGAAAAAACUUUCAGAUCUGCCCGGAAAGGUAAUAAUUUUGACAACCGUAUUUAGUCAUUGUUUUGUUCUCAUGUUUAUACUAAUUAUUGUAUUAUUUUUCAUAAUGUUGUGUUGUUACACAUAAUUUUAUCAUUAUUGCUAUCAUUAUUUGUGUA